ACCCCAGGUCAGGSGGGACUACCCGCUGAGUUUAAGC
rnacentral:rRNA from 1 species